AUAUCAAUAAGCGGAGGAAAAGAAACCAACAGGGAUUACCUCAGUAACGGCGAGUGAAGCGGUAACAGCUCAAAUUUGAAAUCUAGCGCUUUCAGCGUUCGAGUUGUAAUUUGUAGAAGAUGCUUUGGGUGUGGCUCCGGUCUAAGUUCCUUGGAACAGGACGUCAUAGAGGGUGAGAAUCCCGUAUGUGACUGGCUGCCUUCGCCUAUGUAAAGCUCUUUCGACGAGUCGAGUUGUUUGGGAAUGCAGCUCUAAAUGGGAGGUAUAUUUCUUCUAAAGCUAAAUAUUGGCCAGAGACCGAUAGCGCACAAGUAGAGUGAUCGAAAGAUGAAAAGCACUUUGGAAAGAGAGUUAAACAGUACGUGAAAUUGUUGAAAGGGAAGCGCUUGCAACCAGACUUGCCCGCCGUUGAUCAUCCUCCCUUCUGGGUGGUGCACUCAGCGGUGGUCAGGCCAGCAUCGGUUUUGGUGGUGGGAUAAAGGCCUUGGGAACGUAGCUCCUCUCGGGGAGUGUUAUAGCCCUCGGUGCAAUGCCGCCUACCGGGACCGAGGACCGCGCUUCGGCUAGGAUGCUGGCGUAAUGGUUGUAAGCGACCCGUCUUGAAACACGGACCAAGGAGUCUAACAUCUAUGCGAGUGUUUGGGUGUUAAACCCAUACGCGUAAUUAACGUGAACGGAGGUGAGAACCCUUUAGGGUGCAUCAUCGACCGAUCCUGAUGUCUUCGGAUGGAUUUGAGUAAGAGCAUAGCUGUUGGGACCCGAAAGAUGGUGAACUAUGCCUAAAUAGGGUGAAGCCAGAGGAAACUCUGGUGGAGGCUCGCAGCGGUUCUGACGUGCAAAUCGAUCGUCAAAUUUGGGUAUAGGGGCGAAAGACUAAUCGAACCAUCUAGUAGCUGGUUCCUGC
rnacentral:rRNA from 1 species